UGCCAGCCGCCGCGGUAAUACGUAUGUCGCAAGCGUUAUCCGGAUUUAUUGGGCGUAAAGCGCGUCUAGGUGGUUUGGUAAGUCUGAUGUGAAAAUGCGGGGCUCAACUCCGUAUUGCGUUGGAAACUGCCUAACUAGAGUAUCGGAGAGGUGGGCGGAACUACAAGUGUAGAGGUGAAAUUCGUAGAUAUUUGUAGGAAUGCCGAUAGAGAAGUCAGCUCACUGGACGAAUACUGACACUGAAGCGCGAAAGCAUGGGGAGCAAACAGGAUUAGAUA
rnacentral:rRNA from 1 species